UUAACAUCGGAAGCCAACUUUAACGUGCAUUGGGAAUAUAUUCACAUCUGACUUUAGCCACGAAGUAGGUAUGCUGGAUCCACUGAAUACGACAGCGUUCAAUGUUUCCUCUGGUGAGCAGGAGAUCGAGAAUUGUUUCAUGACAUACAUCGUUCGUAAGCCAUCGACACCGUAUAUUAUAAACAGCAUAUUUAGUUGCAUCGUAAACGCCAUCUUAGCAAUUCUAGGGACAUUUCUGAAUGCUCUGGUCGUGGCCGUUUUCUGGAAGACACCGAAAUUACGAAACAAGGUGACCUAUUUUAUGAUAAUGCUCUUAUCUUGUAUUGACAUGUGUGUGACAAUAAUCG